UACGAAGGGAGCUAGCGUUACUCGGAAUUACUGGGCGUAAAGCGUGCGUAGGCGGCAUGGUAAGUUGGGAGUGAAAGCCCUGGGCUCAACCUAGGAAUGGCUCUCAAAACUACCAAGCUAGAAUACUUGAGGGGAUGGCGGAAUUCCUAAUGUAGAGGUGAAAUUCGUAGAUAUUAGGAGGAACACCGGAGGCGAAGGCGGCCAUCUGGCAAGAUAUUGACGCUGUUGCACGAAAGCGUGGGGAGCAAACAGG
rnacentral:rRNA from 1 species